UUAAGCGACUAAGCGUACACGGUGGAUGCCCUGGCAGUCAGAGGCGAUGAAGGACGUGCUAAUCUGCGAUAAGCGUCGGUGAGGUGAUAUGAACCGUUAUAACCGGCGAUUUCCGAAUGGGGAAACCCAGUGUGUUUCGACACACUAUCAUUAACUGAAUCCAUAGGUUAAUGAGGCGAACCGGGGGAACUGAAACAUCUAAGUACCCCGAGGAAAAGAAAUCAACCGAGAUUCCCCCAGUAGCGGCGAGCGAACGGGGAGGAGCCCAGAGCCUGAAUCAGUGUGUGUGUUAGUGGAAGCGUCUGGAAAGGCGCGCGAUACAGGGUGACAGCCCCGUACACAAAAAUGCACAUGCUGUGAGCUCGAUGAGUAGGGCGGGACACGUGGUAUCCUGUCUGAAUAUGGGGGGACCAUCCUCCAAGGCUAAAUACUCCUGACUGACCGAUAGUGAACCAGUACCGUGAGGGAAAGGCGAAAAGAACCCCGGCGAGGGGAGUGAAAAAGAACCUGAAACCGUGUACGUACAAGCAGUGGGAGCCUCUUAAUGGGGUGACUGCGUACCUUUUGUAUAAUGGGUCAGCGACUUAUAUUCUGUAGCAAGGUUAACCGAAUAGGGGAGCCGAAGGGAAACCGAGUCUUAACUGGGCGUUAAGUUGCAGGGUAUAGACCCGAAACCCGGUGAUCUAGCCAUGGGCAGGUUGAAGGUUGGGUAACACUAACUGGAGGACCGAACCGACUAAUGUUGAAAAAUUAGCGGAUGACUUGUGGCUGGGGGUGAAAGGCCAAUCAAACCGGGAGAUAGCUGGUUCUCCCCGAAAGCUAUUUAGGUAGCGCCUCGUGAAUUCAUCUCCGGGGGUAGAGCACUGUUUCGGCAAGGGGGUCAUCCCGACUUACCAACCCGAUGCAAACUGCGAAUACCGGAGAAUGUUAUCACGGGAGACACACGGCGGGUGCUAACGUCCGUCGUGAAGAGGGAAACAACCCAGACCGCCAGCUAAGGUCCCAAAGUCAUGGUUAAGUGGGAAACGAUGUGGGAAGGCCCAGACAGCCAGGAUGUUGGCUUAGAAGCAGCCAUCAUUUAAAGAAAGCGUAAUAGCUCACUGGUCGAGUCGGCCUGCGCGGAAGAUGUAACGGGGCUAAACCAUGCACCGAAGCUGCGGCAGCGACACUAUGUGUUGUUGGGUAGGGGAGCGUUCUGUAAGCCUGUGAAGGUGGCCUGUGAGGGUUGCUGGAGGUAUCAGAAGUGCGAAUGCUGACAUAAGUAACGAUAAAGCGGGUGAAAAGCCCGCUCGCCGGAAGACCAAGGGUUCCUGUCCAACGUUAAUCGGGGCAGGGUGAGUCGACCCCUAAGGCGAGGCCGAAAGGCGUAGUCGAUGGGAAACAGGUUAAUAUUCCUGUACUUGGUGUUACUGCGAAGGGGGGACGGAGAAGGCUAUGUUGGCCGGGCGACGGUUGUCCCGGUUUAAGCGUGUAGGCUGGUUUUCCAGGCAAAUCCGGAAAACCAAGGCUGAGGCGUGAUGACGAGGCACUACGGUGCUGAAGUGACAAAUGCCCUGCUUCCAGGAAAAGCCUCUAAGCAUCAGGUAACAUCAAAUCGUACCCCAAACCGACACAGGUGGUCAGGUAGAGAAUACCAAGGCGCUUGAGAGAACUCGGGUGAAGGAACUAGGCAAAAUGGUGCCGUAACUUCGGGAGAAGGCACGCUGAUAUGUAGGUGAAGCGACUUGCUCGUGGAGCUGAAAUCAGUCGAAGAUACCAGCUGGCUGCAACUGUUUAUUAAAAACACAGCACUGUGCAAACACGAAAGUGGACGUAUACGGUGUGACGCCUGCCCGGUGCCGGAAGGUUAAUUGAUGGGGUUAGCGGUAACGCGAAGCUCUUGAUCGAAGCCCCGGUAAACGGCGGCCGUAACUAUAACGGUCCUAAGGUAGCGAAAUUCCUUGUCGGGUAAGUUCCGACCUGCACGAAUGGCGUAAUGAUGGCCAGGCUGUCUCCACCCGAGACUCAGUGAAAUUGAACUCGCUGUGAAGAUGCAGUGUACCCGCGGCAAGACGGAAAGACCCCGUGAACCUUUACUAUAGCUUGACACUGAACAUUGAGCCUUGAUGUGUAGGAUAGGUGGGAGGCUUUGAAGUGUGGACGCCAGUCUGCAUGGAGCCGACCUUGAAAUACCACCCUUUAAUGUUUGAUGUUCUAACGUUGGCCCCUAAUCGGGGUUGCGGACAGUGUCUGGUGGGUAGUUUGACUGGGGCGGUCUCCUCCUAAAGAGUAACGGAGGAGCACGAAGGUUGGCUAAUCCUGGUCGGACAUCAGGAGGUUAGUGCAAUGGCAUAAGCCAGCUUGACUGCGAGCGUGACGGCGCGAGCAGGUGCGAAAGCAGGUCAUAGUGAUCCGGUGGUUCUGAAUGGAAGGGCCAUCGCUCAACGGAUAAAAGGUACUCCGGGGAUAACAGGCUGAUACCGCCCAAGAGUUCAUAUCGACGGCGGUGUUUGGCACCUCGAUGUCGGCUCAUCACAUCCUGGGGCUGAAGUAGGUCCCAAGGGUAUGGCUGUUCGCCAUUUAAAGUGGUACGCGAGCUGGGUUUAGAACGUCGUGAGACAGUUCGGUCCCUAUCUGCCGUGGGCGCUGGAGAACUGAGGGGGGCUGCUCCUAGUACGAGAGGACCGGAGUGGACGUAUCACUGGUGUUCGGGUUGUCAUGCCAAUGGCACUGCCCGGUAGCUAAAUGCGGAAGAGAUAAGUGCUGAAAGCAUCUAAGCACGAAACUUGCCCCGAGAUGAGUUCUCCCUGAGACUUAGAGUCUCCUGAAGGAACGUUGAAGACGACGACGUUGAUAGGCCGGGUGUGUAAGCGCAGCGAUGCGUUGAGCUAACCGGUACUAAUGAACCGUGAGGCUUAACCUU
rnacentral:rRNA from 9 species